UACGUAGGGUGCGAGCGUUAAUCGGAAUUACUGGGCGUAAAGCGUGCGCAGGCGGUUCGUUAAGUUCGUUGUGAAAGCCCCGGGCUCAACCUGGGAACUGCAAUGGAAACUGGCGGGCUUGAGUGUGGCAGAGGGGGGUGGAAUUCCGCGUGUAGCAGUGAAAUGCGUAGAGAUGCGGAGGAACACCGAUGGCGAAGGCGGCUCACUGGCCCGGUACUGACGCUGAGGUGCGAAAGCGUGGGGAGCGAACAGG
rnacentral:rRNA from 1 species